rnacentral:rRNA from 1 species
GAUGAACGCUGGCGGCGUGCCUAACACAUGCAAGUCGAACGGAAAGACACUGAGAUUGUGCCUUUCUCGUUGGCGGGAGGCGGGCGGGUGACGAGUGUAUCGUACUCUUCUCUUUCGGGGAGCAUAACGUAAGUAAGGCUACUAUAAUAUAGCAUAUCAUGCACCGGGGAAGGCAGUGGAUAGUCGCGGCUUUCGCGUUUGAACUAGCUGGUUCCGAAUUAGCUGGUUGGGUUGGUAAAGGCCCACCAUGGCGAGGAUACGUUGCUGGUCUGAGAGGAUGGUCGGCCACACUGGAACUGAGACACGGUCCAGACUCCUACGGGAGGCAGCAGUGGGGAAUGUUGGGCAAUGGGCGGAAGCCUGACACAGCCAGACCGCGUGGGUGAAGAAGGCCUUCGGGGCGUAAAGCCCUUUUUUUGGGAAAGAACAGCUGCAGAUUAAUACCACGCUGUUCUGACGGUACCCAAUAAAGAAGCACCGGCUAACUACGUG